UUACCCSKUUUUUAAGCAUAUCACUAAGCGGAGGAAAAGAAACUAACGAGGAUUUCCCUAGUAACGGCGAGCGAACCGGAAAUAGCCCAGCUUGAAAAUCGCGAGGCUGCGCCUCGCGAAUUGUAGUCUGGAGAAGCUGCCUCUGCAACGGACCGGGCCCAAGUUUCCCUGGAACGGGACGUCAGAGAGGGUGAGAGCCCCGUCGAGCUCGGACCCUGUUGCUCCCAACGAGGCACUGUCGGCGAGUCGGGCUGUUUGGGAAUGCAGCCCUAAGCGGGUGGUAAAUUCCAUCCAAGGCUAAAUACAGGCAAGAGACCGAUAGCGAACAAGUACCGCGAGGGAAAGAUGAAAAGGACUUUGAAAAGAGAGUGAAAGAGUGCUUGAAAUUGCUGAGAGGGAAGCGAAUGGAAGCUGCGGGUGUGCCCCGGUUGGAUGCGGAACGGCGUGAGCUGGUCCGCCGCUCAACGCGGGGUGCUGGUCAGCGUGGGCCAACGCUGCGGGACAAGAGCCGGCUUUUGUUGCCGGCCGAUGCCGGGGCGUUGGCUGAGGAACGAAGCGCGCGCCCGUUUAGGGCGGGCCUCAGGGCACCUGCGCGCUCGGGACGCUGGCGUAUUGAGCUCUCCAUCCGACCCGUCUUGAAACACGGACCAAGGAGUCUAACAUGUAUGCGAGCCGGUGGGUGGCAAACCCAUUGAGGCGCAAGGAACCUGACAGGUGGGAUCCCUUACGGGAGCACCAUCGACCGACCAUGAUCUUCUGUGAAAGGUUUGAGUGUGAGCAUACCUGCUGGGACCCGAAAGAUGGUGAACUAUGCCUGAGCAGGGCGAAGCCAGAGGAAACUCUGGUGGAGGCUCGUAGCGAUACUGACGUGCAAAUCGUUCGUCAGACUUGGGUAUAGGGGCGAAAGACUAAUCGAACCAUCUAGUAGCUGGUUCCCUCCGAAGUUUCCCUCAGGAUAGCUGGAGCUCGUGGUAGUUUUAUCAGGUAAAGCGAAUGAUUAGAGGCAUCGGGGGUGAAACACCCUCGACCUAUUCUCAAACUUUAAAUAGGUAAGCCGCCAGGGUUGCUUGAAUGAACCCUGGCACGCAAUGGGAGCUCCAAGUGGGCC
rnacentral:rRNA from 1 species